rnacentral:rRNA from 1 species
CCUACGGGAGGCUGCAGUGAGGAAUAUUGGUCAAUGGACGAGAGUCUGAACCAGCCAAGUAGCGUGAAGGAUGACUGCCCUCUGGGUUGUAAACUUCUUUUAUAUGGGAAUAAAAUGUUCCACGUGUGGGAUUUUGUAUGUACCAUAUGAAUAAGGAUCGGCUAACUCCGUGCCAGCAGCCGCGGUAAUACGGAGGGUCCGAGCGUUAUCCGGAUUUAUUGGGGUUAAAGGGAGCGUAGGUGGAUUGUUAAGUCAGUUGUGAAAGUUUGCGGCUUAACCGGAAAAUUGCAGUUGAAACUGGAAGUCUUGAGUACAGUAGAGGUGGGCGGAAUGCGUGGUGUAGCGGUGAAAUGCUUAGAUAUCACGAAGAACUCCGAUUGCGAAGGCAGCUCACUGGACUGCAACUGACACUGAGGCUCGAAAGUGUGGGUAUCAAACAGGAUUAGAUACCCUAGUAGUC